GCCGAAGUGGCGGAAUGGCAGACGCGCCGGACUCAAAAUCCGGUUCACGCAAGUGAGUGUGGGUUCAAGUCCCACCUUCGGCA
rnacentral:tRNA from 2 species